AGUGAACGCUGGCGGUAGGCCUAACACAUGCAAGUCGAACGGCAGCACAGGAGAGCUUGCUCUCUGGGUGGCGAGUGGCGGACGGGUGAGGAAUACAUCGGAAUCUACUCUGUCGUGGGGGAUAACGUAGGGAAACCUACGCUAAUACCGCAUACGACCUACGGGUGAAAGCAGGGGACCUUCGGGCCUUGCGCGAUUGAAUGAGCCGAUGUCGGAUUAGCUAGUUGGCGGGGUAAAGGCCCACCAAGGCGACGAUCCGUAGCUGGUCUGAGAGGAUGAUCAGCCACACUGGAACUGAGACACGGUCCAGACUCCUACGGGAGGCAGCAGUGGGGAAUAUUGGACAAUGGGCGCAAGCCUGAUCCAGCCAUACCGCGUGGGUGAAGAAGGCCUUCGGGUUGUAAAGCCCUUUUGUUGGGAAGGAAAUCCAGCCGGCUAAUACCCGGUUGGGAUGACGGUACCCAAAGAAUAAGCACCGGCUAACUUCGUGCCAGCCGCCGCCGUAA
rnacentral:rRNA from 1 species